rnacentral:lncRNA from 1 species
ACACAUUAAUCAUUUAAAAAAUUUAUAAGAGAUUCAAAUAAAUUUACUCUUUAAUUUAAUAUAUAAUAAUUAAUUUGAGAUAAGAUACAAUCUAAUUUCUAAUAUAAUAUUUUUAGAGUCCAACUAAAUCCGGUCUAACUCACAAGAACAUCUAUCUUACAAUUAUGAACUAAUUUUAUUUAGUUGUGCUCUGAACGAAGAAUUAUGUUUAAUCUUAACCCAAUUCUGUAUGCUCCAAAUUUUUAAUCAUUACUCUCCCUUCAGCUGAGACAAAAUCAUACUCUUGAUAUCUUGUAAAAAUAAUCGAAACGAUAAGGGGGGAAAAUGCAUGCAAGGAAUGUGAAUCAAUCUUGGACAUAUUUGCAGAUCAGACGUCAAUAAAGAAGACAACCUGUCUGUCUGAAAACCCCUUUUUUUCUUCUUUGCAGUGGAGAGACAAGUGGCAAUGAUGUUGAGAGAAAUUGAAACUAGACGAGAACAAAAAGUUUUCUACUUUGGAAAGAUUGUAAAGAUGUAUAUAUAGCUGAAGGAAGACAACGGAACAGGGACGAUUAGAACAAAUGUUGGCCAAUGUGCAUGAAUUGUUCCCAAUGAUCAGAAACAGGUAAUGAAACCAGAGGUUACAAUGUUUCAAAUUGUGGAGCAAUAAAGAUGAAAAACAUGGUGAGGGUAAAUGUUCUUGCGUUAUCCUUUUUGGUUAUUUCACUUUGAAAAGUUGGCAGGGGCCAUAAAAGUUAGCUGUAUACCCUUCCAUGUUCACUUGUUCUUGAGCCCCCCUUCCCAUGACUUUGAUCCGUC